AUGGACGCCAUCUUCCUCGCAUCCGCGGCGGCGACAUGGGCGCUCAACAAGCUCCUCGACCACCUCAAAGACUCCGCCAUCAAGGCGCUGCUACGGUCGGAAGGGCUCGACAGGGAGGUCGGCCCCAUAGAGGUCACGCUGAUGCGCGCCAACCUCGUCCUCGGCUCCGUGCCCACCGGGUCGGCCGCCUCCGGGGUGAGGAUCAGGAACAAGGAGCUCAUAAAUCACGUCAACAAAGUUCACCAGCAUGCGUCUUUCUUGGCCAAUGAGCUCGACAAGGUCAAGUACCAGUGCAUCAAGCAAGAGGUAAAAAAGAAGAACCUGGAGAAUGCAAGCAUUUUCAAAUCCAAAAUGAAAUCUAUCACUCAAGUUGGAACAUCGGAGCAAAAAAUCAGUGGAUAUGACAUAAGACUGAUAAAAAAGACUGCUGAUGAACUGGAGAAGAUUUGCAACGAUGUUCAUGAAGCUCUCGUGGUAGAGAAGCUUGGUCAGAUUGUUGAAGCAACAAAAAACAUGGAUAUAGAUACACGUGAGACGGUAGACAGCAAAACUGAAACUGAGGUGGUCCCAAGAGAAGAGGAAAAUGAUAUUAGACAACUAAUAACUGCAAGUGCAUCACCUCAUCAACAGCUAUUAGUUCUUCCAAUAGUCGGCGAUGGUGGUGUUGGGAAGACAACACUUGCUCGACAAGUGUACAAUGACCAACGUGUGAAAGAUAAGUUUGAAAUGAUGAUAUGGAUUUAUGUAUCCGCUAAUUUUGAUGAAGUCAAAGUUACACAAGGGAUUCUGCAACAAAUACCUAAGUGCGAGUAUAAACCAAGUACAAACCUUAACGUGCUUCAGGGCAGCAUCAAGAAACACUUGACUGGAAAAUUUCUAAUUGUUUUGGAUGACAUGUGGGAAGAGAGCCAGGGCCGCUGGGAAAAGCUUUUGGCUCCACUUAGAUGUACGGAAAAAGGGGGUGUGGUUCUGGUGACAACUAGAAAGCUAUCUGUUGCCAACGCGACGGGCAGAUCCAAUGCACCUAUCAACUUGGAUGGCAUGAAGGCAGAUAUGUUCUGGUCCUUCUUCCAAACAUGCAUAUUUGGUCAUACGGAUUAUCGAGGCAAAAAGCUUCUGAAAAUUGGAAAGGAAAUAGCUACCAAGCUGAAAGGAAAUCCUUUAGCAGCUAAAAGUGUCGGUGCACUUUUGGGAAAAAAAACCAAUGAGCAUGCCUGGAGAAAUAUAUUAGAUAGAGAUGAGUGGAAGAUUCAAAAUGAGACGGAUGACAUCAUACCAGCACUAAGGCUCAGUUACAAUCACCUGCCCGACCGUCUUCAGCAAUUAUUCUCAUAUUGUGCUUUGUUUCCUAAGGGUUACAAAUUUGACAAGGAACAGUUGAUACGUAUGUGGAUUGCUCUUGGCUUUGUCACACAUGAGAGGAUACCAUUGGGAGAUGCAGCAAGUUACAGUUUUGAUGAAUUGGUAUAUGGGAGCUUCUUCCAGAAAGAGGAACGGUACUUUAUUUUGCAUGAUUUAAUGCAUGAUGUAGCACAAGAAGUAUCAGCGUUUCAGUGCCUUACUAUUGCUGGCCCAGAUCCUCAGGAAGCCUCCCAAUCUGUACACCUCAUUCGUCAUGUCGGCAUCUGGACUGAGAUGGUGUACAAUGAAGGAAACAUGGAACGUAAUGAAACCUUUGAAGAAAAGUUAGACAAGAUACAGGACGGAGAUAUUCUGAAAUCUUUGGAGAGUUUCAUGCUUGUAGGCACAUAUGAUGAGAAUUUCUCUGCAAAGUUUGCGAAGACCCUGGAAAAAUUACAGUAUGUUCGUUUACUUCGGUUGUCAAUGCAUUUCAAUAUCGAUGCUUUGCUAUCCAGUGUCACAAAGUUCAUCCAUCUUCGGUAUUUAGAACUCAGGUAUACAUCUCAGGAGCGCAAACCUUUACCUGAGGCUAUAUGCAAGCUCUACCACCUACUGCUACUGGAUAUCAUGCACUGGAGUGGUUUAGAUGACUUGCCAAAGGCUAUGAGCAAUCUGGUGUGCUUACGCUAUCUCCUCGUUCCGGGGUCAGGGUCAUUGCACUCAAGGAUAUCAAGAGUUGGACAAAUGAAGUUUCUGCAAGAGCUCAGUGAAUUUCGGGUGCAAGAAGAGAAAGGCUUUGAGAUUGCGCAGCUGGGAUCUUUAAGUGAGAUCAGAGGGUCACUUAGUAUCCUUGAUCUUGACAAUGUCAAAACAAAGCAAAAGGCUUCUGAGGCAAGGAUUAAAGAUAAAAAACAUCUGAGGACACUUUCACUUUCAUGGGGUAGUGCAAGUGCAAGAGAAAGUGCCGCUGUCCAGAAGGAAGUAAUUGAGGGUCUUAAACCACAUGAUCGUCUUGCACAUCUUCAUAUCAUAAAUUAUGCAGGUGCUUCUCCAUCGUGGAUCGCAAUGAAGGGAUUAGAAAGCCUCCAUCUCCAUAACUGUAUGGGCAUAGAUGUCCUGCCACCAUUUGAGGAGAUGGAAUGCCUGCAGAAACUGUCCUUGAUUGGCAUGUCCUCUCUGAGGGAUGUCGACAUUGACAUGGGGCUUGAGGAUGACGAGCUCGAGCUAAGCGAAGUUGAAAUAGCAAGUUGUUCAGCCUUAACAUCCAUAAGGCUUCAUUUUGGCAAGAUAUUGACUAAGUUUGAUGUUAAAGAUUGUGUGGCACUAUCUUCCAUAGAAGGUUUGCCAUCCUCUGGUCAACGGAAGCACUACGUGAUCCAAGGAUGCCCUCAGCUUCCUGCUGAUACUGUCUAA
rnacentral:rRNA from 1 species